GCUCAGGAUGAACGCUGGCGGCGUGCUUAACACAUGCAAGUCGAACGGGAAACAUUUCAUUGAGGCUUCGGCGGAUUUGAUCUGUUUCUAGUGGCGGACGGGUGAGUAACGCGUGGGUAACCUGCCUUAUACUGGGGGAUAACAGCCAGAAAUGACUGCUAAUACCGCAUAAGCGCACAGAACCGCAUGGUUCCGUGUGAAAAACUCCGGUGGUAUAAGAUGGACCCGCGUUGGAUUAGCUAGUUGGCAGGGCAGCGGCCUACCAAGGCGACGAUCCAUAGCCGGCCUGAGAGGGUGAACGGCCACAUUGGGACUGAGACACGGCCCAGACUCCUACGGGAGGCAGCAGUA
rnacentral:rRNA from 1 species